GAAGCACAAAGAAGUUAAGUACUUGCCCAAGUUCACACCAAGAUUUGAACCCAGGUAGUCUUACUUCAGAGACUACGUUUUUAUCCGUGGCCAUUGCCAACCUCAUGCUCAUUCAUUUGUACUGGGACACUCAUGCUUUAUCCAUAGUACUUCUCCACCAGCAGUUUUGUAAAGAUCAGAGGAAGUGAUGAGCUCAGAGAGCAGAGUCGGGCACAAGAAGGAGGAUACUAUUGGGUGCCCAUCAGUUGCUGUGCCUGUUAUGGCUUAGCUACUCUUGCUGCUAUGUGGAGAACAGAUGGGAGGUGGACACUCAGGGAAACAGGUAAUUUGCCUUGCUACCAGUGUUUCUCUACCAUAAAAAUAUUAUGAG
rnacentral:lncRNA from 1 species